AAUUGUGCGGCGGGGUCUGGAUGGAAAGGCGGGGCCCGCUGAAAGAAGGCGAUCCGAGUUCUGCUACUUCCUAGUAAGGGACGUCUCUGGAGAGAUUCUGAGGUGUUUGAGCCUCUUUUGCCUACACACCGGCAGGUAAGCCAUCUCUGCCCCAGUGGGGUUCAGACCCCCCGGGACGGGCCCUUCUCUCACUCAUUCGCCCCCUCAUUUUCCCCAGUGUCCUUCCCGCACUCAGAGGGCCUCUCUGGAGCCAGUUCCAGGCCACCCAUGGGCCUUGGCCCCGCCCCCUACUCAUGGCUGGCAGAUUCGUGGCCCCACCCAUCUCGAAGCCCCUCGGCCCAGGAACCCAGGGGAAGCUGCUGCCCUAGCAAUCCUGACCCGGACGACAGAUAUUACAACGGUGAGGAGUUCUCAUUCCCUCACCUGGCUUCAGCGCACUUCUCCCGACCUACUGGGGCAAACCGAAGGGCGCCCGGGAGCCCGGUCUCUCUGAGGUUGGUCAGUCCCUGGGGAGGAUGUGAGCUGGGGAAGCCUCUCA
rnacentral:lncRNA from 1 species